rnacentral:lncRNA from 1 species
CUUGGACUCCAGCCCUGGCAACCUUUUCUCUUCCAGCCGGGGAUCUUGCAGCACAAUCCCAGAGGCCUGGCUUUGCACGCACGGAUCCCGGGCGGGGUGGGGGAGAGCUGGGGCCAUCAGGGGGCCCAGGCUCUGGUCCCUUCUCCUGACCCCCAGGCCAGGGCUGGCCCUGGGCAGAGGCAGAGUGAGGGGGGGAUUGAUAGAAAGAGCCUGACCCAGCCCCAUGCCUGGUGCCUCUGUUCCUUUGGGCUAAGGCAUUUCCCCCCAAUCUCGAGUAGCAUUGCAAAUAUUUCCGAUCUGGGCAGUCGUUAACACAAUGUUAUGGGUUCUCUGUUCAGCUGGGAGAUCGCUCAGGAGAGGGACAGAAGAGGGAUUCCCGGUGGCUCUGUUUCUCUGGGGUCAGGGCUAUUCCAUCAGUCAAAUCUGCACACGGAGAUGUGUACCAUGCCAGACAGCGGGCAAUGUGGAGACGAACCCCAAGGCUCCUAUCCUCAAGAGCCCACGCUGGGCCGAGUCCUGCCUCAAUUUUGAGAAGAGAAGUUUGGGCACCUCUGCCAGGCACAAGUGGGCCCUGACCUCUGCUGCUCGUCUACAACUAUGUUGCUGGGAAAUAGCCCCCAUCUUACAUUUUCGACGUGGCAUUGGCAGCCAAACCCAGAGCACAGCUCCACAACCGAGAAGCAUCAGCCAGCUUUGCUGGUGAGGCUUCCACACACUGAGGGGCAGCCUGGUGCCCUGGGAAAGGGUCUCAUGACAAUGGGGCGUUUGUCUGGGGGGCUGAGUAGCAGGGCUACGACCUCCAGCCCCCUCCCGGCGCAGGGCCCGCUCACUCCGGGGCUUGGAGAAUUCUGACCUCAGUUCUACCACCCACCCAAAGUGGGACCCUGGGCAAGCCACUCAGUUUUCUCAUCUGUCAGAUGGGUAUAAAAGUCCUGGGUCGACUGUCUUAGAGGGUUGUGAAGAGAAUCAAAUGAGCUCUUGGGUGAGAAAUAACGUCAGGAUUAAAAAGAGCUUCGAUGCCCAGCUUUCCUCCCUAACUCCACCUGAGCCGGCCCUGGAACCUCUGAAGGCUGUCAGGGGGCCGUUCUGUCACCUUCCUGGGCUCCUCUUAAAAAUCAAAUGACACUGCAACCCCAGGCAGUGGACAGAACCAGCCCUAUUUCAGCCUCGAGAAGAGAGCAAAUGGCAAGAUGAGGAAAACGGGCUCUAAAGGCAAGUACAUUCCUCCACAGGCCGCCUCCCCCCCAAGGCUCAUUUGACUUUCCAUCAACAGCUAAUGAUGUGGGGGGACAGGACCCCGGGGGGCCGUUCCUGCCUCUUCCCAAGCAACCACACCUCAUGGUGGGGCCUCUGCUCCAGCCUCAGGAGUGUCGGGGAAGCUGCCAGCCUGUAAAAUGCCUAGAAGAUUCCUUGGCAGGAAGUGGAUCUGCCCCAGAGGGUGGGGCUUUUCCCUCACUGACCGCUGGGGAAGCUCCGGUCUUUCCUGGGAGCGUGGCAGAGGCCCCAGCUGCUUGGGCUGGGGGCUUCGAGGGAGGAGGAGGUCUGGCUUCAGAGCCAAGGCCAACCCCAGCGGCUGGUAUUUAUUCCCUCCUGUGGGAGCUCCUUUGGCAAACGUUUAUGGAGCCCCACUGAGGAGCAGGCUCUGCGUCCACGCGGAAUAGCAGCUGCCCCGUCUGUCUGACCCCAGAUUCACAAGCUCCCUUGGCUGGCAGUUCGCAGCGCUGGCCCCAGCGAGGUCCCCACUCAGCAUGUUCAUCAGCCCGACAUGGUCCCAGGCAUGUGCUGCGUAAACCGGGGGCCAAACCAGGCACGGGCUGGGUUUCCUGUCUUCCUCACACCCAGCAUGCUUGGCACUUGCAGGCCCUGUGACGCCGUGGUUCUGAAGGCUCCACCUUGUGCCCUUUGUCUUGGAGGUCUGUCUCUUCCCCUACAACCCUCUUCCUCACUAGUAAGACUUGGAUUUGCUGGUGUCCACACCCAUUCCACCUGAGUUUCCAGGGUACAUCCUAACUAUUACCGCCAAACAUGGUAAUUCCAUGCUGCUUCUCAGUGAUUGAUCUAAGAAGUAGGCAUGUGACAUAAUUCUGACCAAUAGGAUGUGAGGGGAAAUGAGCUGGGGAGGAGCUUCUGGGGAAGGGUUUCCACUGACUACAGGAGACACAUAGGAGAGCUGACUUCUCUCUCCCUCCACACUGUUAUGUCUGUGUGUGAUGCCUGGAACAUUGGCAACCAUAUUGAAACCAUGAGGGGAACAAAGCUAACAUACUGAGGAGGAACAGAGUUGAAACAUAGAAGGACUCUGGGUCCAUGAUGAUGUCACCAAAUCGCUAAUCAACCCUGGUGCUGUCCUUCCUCAAGAUUUCUUGUCAUGUGACAUUUUCUUCAAAGCCAUUUUGGGUUGGGUUUUCUGCUCCUUGCAGCAGAAGCAUCCUCACUGAUUAAAUCCGCGUCUCCACGUGCAGCCCCCUUCAACCUCUGUGAGCCAUAGAGAUUGGAGUCGGGCGGCCUCGUACUCUGAAAGAACUAAGCUAAAGCUGCCACAGUGUUGGGGCUGCCUCCUGGGAUGGCCUCAAAGCUGUGUGGUUUGGCGAUCUGGGGACUAGUAGCACUGACCCCUGCAGCCUGCAAGGCCUUCUCCAGAGGCGAGGUGGCCCCAGGACACUCCCCGACCCCUGGCUGCCCCCGGGGUGAGGGCUGGAGGUCCUCAUGCUCAUCCCCUGCCCGGGUGGGGGUCGUCCCUCUGCAGCUAGCCCCCACCAUGACCUUCCCCGUCCCAGGUGUCCACCCUCCGGGGGCCUUGCAGCUCUAGCUCGCCUUCCUGAGGGCGGAGGCUCUCCCCACUCUGCCGCCCCGGGAGUCUGCCCUUCUCCGGCCGUUCUGCCCAGGAUUGGUUUCAUACAGGAUCUCCUCCAGCCGAGGAAGAGCAGGGCUUGCAGGAGCAGCAGGCCCAGGGCCUCGGUGGAAGGCUGGGUGUGUGAGGAGGGUGCAGAGGGAGGCCUGAGGAUCUUGCUCAGGAGGCCCCCCAGGGACUAAGGCAGGAGGAGCGGUGGGGACGGGAGUGCGGGGGGCCACUGGGAAGCAAGGGAGAAGGCUGUAUGUCAGGUGGGGACAGGCCAGCAACAGGGAUGACCCCGGCACCGGGAGCAGCUUAGAGGUGGGGACCCGUCCUGUUCAUCUGUGCUGCCCUGUGCCUGGCAUGUUCCGUAGGUGCUCAGGGAAUGUCUGCCCAGUGGAUGCAAUCAUUCUUUCAUGCAUUCAUUCGUUCAUUCAACAGAGACACUGUGCCACUUUGGACUGAAAAAGGAGAUCAAGCGCUGAGUAAGACAGAGAAGGUCCCUGCCCUCUGGGUCCUUGUGAGCAAGGGGUGGGGGGUGGAUAUAAACCAGGAGCUAAAUAACUGAUUAACCAACUGGCUAAGUCACGAACAUUUUUAGUCAAUUAUAUUUGCUACAACGUAUGACAGCCUGUGUGCGCUGUGGGGAGGGAGGCCUGAGGAGGGUGGAGGCGUUAGGAAGGGCCUCGCUGCAAGCAGAGCAGGGAGGACGAGAGGCAGCCGGCCACGCAGCCUCUGCAGGAGGAGUCCUCGGGGAAGCAGCUGGCACCAGGCCCCGGGGGACCAGACACGUUCAAGGCCUGGGUGUCUUGGAAGUUCCCAGGGGAGCGGGGGAGCUGAUGCUGAAGAGUGAGUGGGGAGCUGGCCUCAGAAGCCUGUGGACUGUGGUCUGGGGUCUGCAGAGAUGGUUGAAUGGUUCUGAGUUCCAGCACGUUAGACCGGAUCACCUGGACGCUUUCCUGCCUAAGGUCACAAUUAGUCCCAGAGACCUUCCCGGAAGUGAGCCUGCAUUCAGGGACAAAAGGAUGCACCGUGGCAGAGGAGGCCCGCAGGGGCUGAGAGCCCGCUGACAGCCAGCACGCCGGGGCACCGACUUUCAUCAUUACCGUGGUUGUGGUCUCUGACGUCCAGGGCGGGGCUCUCCUGUUCCUCCCUCCUGCUCCCCACCUCUCUCUCUGUGCAGUGUGGGGGGUUUUGUCCUGGAUGCCCUGCCGCCCACCUCGCUCCUGAGUGCUCUCCUCCUCGAGGCCCUCCUGAUGUGGGAAGGCAAUGGACGCUGGCCCUGGGGCGACACCUCCAUGGGAAGCAUGACCCUCGAGGCUUGGCCCAGGACUGUCUAGUCCCCAUGUUCCCUCUGUCCCAUGCCGCGACACCUGCCAGGCUCAUCUCUGCCUGUUCAGGCCCUAGUCAUCAUGGGCGACCAGCUCCCAGACCUCGGGCACCUGGCCUGGCUCUCCUUCCCCAGAGACCCCUGGCCGGGGCUCCCCAGGAAUGGCCUCACCCGUCUGCUUCUGCUGCUGGUUCCAGCCUUCCCUCCCUGGCCCAAGGACCAGCAAAGAUGAGUCACAGGAGGCUUAGCUUGCCACCUCUUCAAACAAGUGUUAACAGAGAAAUGGAAAGGGGCGUGGAGAUGAGCGUGGGGCCUAGCUGGAACCUCAGCAUGCGGGGCUGUGCAGCAGGUGCCUUUGCCGGCCCUCAGAGCUCCCGGGCGCAGAGCAGGGCAGCUGAGCCCAUGCCGGAGGUGUGGUGGCUCCUUAGCCUGGCGUCAGGCUUUGUCACGAACGGGAUCACACAGUAAGGGAUAGGGCUGAAGACCACCAGUGUGGUCAGUGAGCUGUGUGGUCUCCGGCAAGCCAUGGAACCACUCCAGGCCUCAGCUUUGUCACCCUCAGUCAGGAUGACAACAGCUCUCUCAUGGGAUAGCUAGAGGACAAAAGUGACAUAGGACUUGUGAAGCCUGCCUGCUGUGUGUCCUGCACCCCAUAGCACCCUGUCCCUUCUCUGUUCCCUCUUCCGGCCUCCCUCCCUCCCUCUGCUUUAAUGUGUGAUACCCCCCCACCCCCACACUCCCCCAUCUUAGAUUCCAGAAGAGAACCAUCACCAAAGCACGCAGGAAAGCCCCUGCAUGGGGGUUAGGCACCAGGACAGUCCUUGGCGGGUGGAGUAUGAUCCUGUGGGGAGCAGCUCAAAGAUCUUCCAGCUGCCCCCUCACCAUCCCAGGUGGGGACCCUGAGGUCUCUCCUCACAGCCCUGGGGCAGGGGAGCAGCUGUCACCAAGGAAAGGCAGCGCUCAGGCCCUGCGGCUCCUGGGCCCAGACUGCCUGACUUCCUGUGCUGAGCACCAGCCAGGGCAACUGGCCCAUCCCACAGGGCGGCCCCAGUCCUCCCGGGGCCCACUGCCAGGGGACAGCCAGCUCACCUGUGAACCCUGGGCCUCCAUCCCAGGAGAAGCCAGUGAGGCAGGGACCAGAGGGGGAUGCUGGGGUGUCCCUGGUGGGGUCUGUGGGUCAAUGUGUGUGUUUGUGUCUGUGGUGUGUAUGUAUGCAGGUGGGCUUUGUGGGGUAUGUCUGUGUGUGUAUUUGCAUGGAUGGUGUGUUUGUAUCCGUGAUAUGUAUCGUAUGUAUGUGUUUGGGUGUGUGUGUGUGCAUGGUCUGUGCAGUAUAUGUGUGUCUGUAGUGUGCGAGUGUGACUGUGUCUGUAUGUCUGUGGUGUGCGUGUGUAUGUGUCUGUGGUGUGUGUGUGUCUGUGGUGUACGUGUGUGUUUAUGUCUGCAGUGUGUGUGUGUCUAUGGUGUCUGUGUGUGGUUGUAUCUGUGGUGUAUGUGUUUAUGUCUGUGGGGUGUGUGUGUGUGAGUGUGUGCACAUGCGCAGCACUGGUAAGGCCAGGACCCCCCACCCACGGAGGACGUACACCUUUGGUGAAGUUGUGAUGUUGCGGAGUCGUUCCUUGUCUCCCCACUUUUCUGAGUGCCUGCUCCCUCUCCCAGGCCAGUCCCUUUACUCCUCUGUCCCCGCUGAGGUUUCUCCUUGCCCACCUUCCUGCUGCCUCUCAGGGCCCAGGACCAGGCCAGCCCUGCUUGCUCCCUCCACCUCUCAGUGUGGCUCUGGGCCCCCUCCUCGUCCUGGACUGCAGCAAGGCAUCGGUGACAUCUCAAUCUGGCCGACCCUCUGUCACAAUCUAGCAUGUCAAGGGAACAGUGUGGAGCCAGUGGCUUGGCCUCCUCCUGGUCUAGGCGGUAGCAUGUUUGCUGUCCCUCUGCAUGCCCCAUGUGGCCGGCUGGUGACCAGCAUCCGUUCCUGUCACCUUCUCGAGAGACUGGGCAGAGAGGGGCAGAGUUCAUGCCAGGACAUGUUGAGUAUGAGGCUCCAAUGGUCACCUGGAGGACAGAGCUAAGGGGGUGAUUUAAGACAGCUAAGUUGUUUCGUCUCUAUUUCUGCCUCUGACCUCGGUCCUUGAGCUCAUGUUGCUGAUCAGCUGCAGGUUUGAAAGGUCGGAAGGAAACUGAGAACUGUGAGAGGCCAGAACCGAGGAGGCCCAGCUGGGGGUGAAGGGCAGACUCUCCGAGGUCCAGGCCUCGGCGCAGCGCUGAGCAAAAGUGGAGCCCAUGGAGACCGUCCACUCGCACAGCCGAGGAGGAGGCUCUGAUAUGGACACAGGAGGCCACGGCUACCGCCCAUGCACGUUCUCUUCCUCCAGGUGGCACUACCUCAUUUUACCCUCAGGGCCCUGGAGACGGGCACCACGGCUCUCUUGCUAUCUGCACAGGAACUAAGCACACAGACUGCCAGGGGAGCUGGGAGCUGGCCCAAGCCUGGCUGACGUCAUGUCUCAACCUCACAAUCACCAGACAGAGGCUCCCCGUAUUUGAUAAGGAAACAGAGGCCCAGGAAGGUCACCGAAGGUCACCCAGCCAGUAGGCUCCAGAUCUCGCCUUCUGAUCUUGCCAGCUGCUCCCCAGACCGCGGCCUCUCUCGGCACAGCCUGGCCAGCCUGCCUGGGGCGGGGCUCGCCUCAAGAUGGCGCCCACCCUCUUCCCUUGUUUCGCCGUAUUCGAAGGACUCCAACACGACAGCUUUUACAUUUCGGCAUCUUUGCAACCUGGGUGCAUCUUACAGUCUUUGGCAGGCCAGGCAGCUGUCGUGACCUUGUUCUCUUUUCCCGCACACACAUCAAAACCUGCAGGAUGGGCAUCAGUUUCUCAGAAGAAAAUCCUGGAGCCAAUAGCGGAGGACACUUAAAAAAGACACGCUGGGGCUGGCCCUGUGGCCGAGUGGUUAAGUUUGCGCGCUCCGCUGCAGGCGGCCCAGUGUUUCGUUGGUUCGAAUCCUGGGCGCGGACAUGGCACCACUCAUCAAACCACGCUGAGGCAGCGUCCCACGUGCCACAACUAGAAGGACCCACAACGAUGAAUAUACAACUAUGUACCCGGGGGCUUUGGGGAGAAAAAGGAAAAAAUAAAAUCUUUAAAAAAAAAAAACAAAAAUGACAUGCUGCACCACCGUGCUUUUGAUGGUGCAGAGGACAAGACCUGUAGAAAACCCCGGCUUCAACAGCUCUUGAGUCGGAAGAGAUUCCAAAGAGUUGGACUCAGAAUACAAAGCUACUCUAGG